GAUCUGCGGUCGAGGGUGUCAAAGCUCAGAACGGAGGGGAUGGAACAAUGCGUGUGACGUCACAGACAGCAGAGAGCGCUUGUCGCAUGGCCAACUGAGCUUCGCUGCCGUCAGUUUAGUCAUGCCAACGUUUGAGGAAAGGUGCUAUGUUGUAGUGUAAUCUCGCGGGUGAUAAACGAACUUUUGGUGAAGUUGUGAAGUUUUUGUUUAGCUUAUGGAACACAUUGUGACAUUAUGUUGACUUCUUCUAAUCAGUAUUUGAGACCGGAAUAUCUUACUCCUCUACCUACUACAUUGGACGCAAAGAAAAGUCCUCUCGCAUUGUUGGCCCAAACAUGUAGUCAGAUAGGAGCAGAUACCCCGAACGCGAAGCUUCUUCAAAGUUCAGAAAAAUCAAACAAGUCUGCGAAGACAGAUUGCCAAAAAGAAAAAAAGGAAUUGUCUCAGAACAAUUCAAAAUUGGACGUUGCUAGCCCGAGAGAAAAGUCCAGAUCUCCUGAAGAGAGAUCCAACUCUGGUUCGAGCGGCAAUAGGGUACGAACGCCGAUAGCUUCGAAGCCCCUUACGAACGGAAGAUGUUCUAGCAAUAUUAGUCUUUCUCCUAGAGCUUCUCCUGCUGAAAGGAAGAGUCCUGCGACUGAAAGCUAUGCAGAGGGAACAGCUACUCCCGAGAAAUCCAGCGAAAGGACAACUCCGCACACUCCUUCGUCGUCUGCUUCAAAGACAGCCUUUACACCCAAUAUACUGACGUCGUCUUCUGAUCCAGCUAUCAAGGACUUGCCGUUGGGAACUUUCAAACCGGGGGUUCCUCCUACGACUUCCCCGUUUCUGGGAGCAUAUCCGUCGCCUUCUUUCCCCUUAUCUAUGGACUUAAUGGCCAGUACUUUGAUGAACCAGCACGCUUUAAAAAGUAGUGGACUAGUUCCGUAUCUCGGUUAUGGCAGAAUGAAAACGCAAGACUCACUGUCGUCGGUGUGUAGAGAUCCGUACUGUACGGGAUGUAGUGUUAGUUCUCACUUAUUAGGUGCCUCGAGUGUUGUAAAGUCUUGUCCGGCCGGCUGCACACAGUGUGAUCACGCAAAACCACCCACGACUGUUGGAUACAUGAGCCAUAGUCCUGCAGCUACAGCGUACGCCCACGCGCAGCUAGCCGCCUUGGCUGCAGCUUCUCAUUUACCCUACGUGUGCAAUUGGAUAUCCGGAGACGCAGCCUACUGUGGUAAAAGGUUUUCUAGCUCAGAAGAACUGUUAGCUCACUUAAGGACUCACACUAGUGGAGCGAUAUCGGAUACCGGUUCCGCUUUAUCGAUGUUAGGUUCGCCUGGACUACCCCCCACGCAUCCCCUGCUUCACAGAACAUAUCCAACGCCUCCUCUCAGUCCCUUGGCGACUGCGAGAUAUCACCCGUACAGCAAACCGUCCUUGUUGCCCCCCUCGCUUACUUCAUCCUCGCUGGCGGGGUUUCCCCUAGGGCAUCCAGGAAUCUCUCCAUAUCUCUCCCCAUACUCGCUUUACGGGCCUAGGCUAGGUGCUGCCCCAGGUAUGCAUCAGUAGAUGUUCUCCAGAAGCCAAAUACUAAGAUGCUGUGUUAUAGACUUUUCCUAGUCUUAAAAGAUUACCUUAAAUAUUCCUGGCAGUGGGAAGUGAAUGGUUUUUGUUUUAGUAAAGAUUACUCUAUAUUUUUUGAAAGUUGAAACUGAUUUAACCGAGUCGCAUAUAUGUAGUAGCGAAGAUAGUGUGUGUACUGUCAGAUCGUGCCCUGUCCUUUAUAUCUUUGUAUUUUUAGUUAAAUGACUUUAUAUUUUAUAUUGUUAAAUUUUGAUGUAAUUAUUGUUUUAUUUCUUUUAAAAAAGUAUAUUAAAAAUAUUUACUUCA
rnacentral:misc_RNA from 1 species